rnacentral:rRNA from 1 species
AGUGAACGCUGGCGGCAGGCCUAAUACAUGCAAGUCGAACGGCAGCACAGCAGAGCUUGCUCUGUGGGUGGCGAGUGGCGGACGGGUGAGGAAUACGUGGGAAUCUGCCCAGUCGUGGGGGAUAACGUAGGGAAACUUACGCUAAUACCGCAUGCGCCCUUCGGGGGAAAGCCGGGGACCUUCGGGCCUGGCGCGAUUGGAUGAGCCCAGUCGGAUUAGCUAGUUGGCGGGUAAAGGCCCACCAAGGCGACGAUCCGUAGCUGGUCUGAGAGGAUGAUCAGCCACACUGGAACUGAGACACGGUCCAGACUCCUACGGGAGGCAGCAGUAGGGAAUAUUGGACAAUGGGCGCAAGCCUGAUCCAGCCAUGCCGCGUGAGUGAAGAAGGCCCUCGGGUUGUAAAGCUCUUUGUCCGGAAAGAAAGCGCCGGGUUAAUACCCUGGUGUCCUGACGGUACCGGAAGAAUAAGCACCGGCUAACUUCGUGCCAGCAGCCGCGGUAAU